UACGAAGGGUGCAAGCGUUACUCGGAAUUACUGGGCGUAAAGGGUGCGUAGGUGGUCGUUUAAGUCCGAUGUGAAAUCCCUGGGCUCAACCUGGGAAUGGCAGUGGAUACUGGACGGCUAGAAUGCGGUAGAGGGUAGUGGAAUUUCCGGUGGAGCGGUGAAAUGCGUAGAGAUCGGAAAGAACACCAACGGCGAAAGCACUCUGCUGGGCCGACACUGACACUGAGAGACGAAAGCUAGGGGAGCGAAUGGG
rnacentral:rRNA from 1 species